GGACGGAUGGCCGAGCGGUUUAAGGCACCAGUCUUGAAAACUGACGUACGUGGUAAGCGUGCCAUGGGUUCGAAUCCCAUUCCGUCCG
rnacentral:tRNA from 1 species